rnacentral:rRNA from 1 species
GACGAACGCUGGCGGCGUGCCUAAUACAUGCAAGUUGAGCGCCGAAGGUUGGUACUUGUACCAACUGGAUGAGCAGCGAACGGGUGAGUAACGCGUGGGGAAUCUGCCUUUGAGCAGGGGACAACAUUUGGAAACGAAUGCUAAUACCGCAUAAAAACUUUAAACACAAGUUUUAAGGUUGAAAGAUGCAAUUGCAUCACUCAAAGAUGAUCCCGCGUUGUAUUAGCUAGUUGGUGAGGUAAAGGCUCACCAAGGCGAUGAUACAUAGCCGACCUGAGAGGGUGAUCGGCCACAUUGGGACUGAGACACGGCCCAAACUCCUACGGGAGGCAGCAGUAGGGAAUCUUCGGCAAUGGACGAAAGUCUGACCGAGCAACGCCGCGUGAGUGAAGAAGGUUUUCGGAUCGUAAAACUCUGUUGGUAGAGAAGAACGUUGGUGAGAGUGGAAAGCUCACCAAGUGACGGUAACUACCCAGAAAGGGACGGCUAACUACGUG